rnacentral:rRNA from 1 species
UACGGGGGGAGCAAGCGUUGUUCGGAUUUACUGGGCGUAAAGGGCGCGUAGGCGGCCACCGCAAGUCGACUGUGAAAUCUCCGGGCUUAACCCGGAAAGGUCGGCCGAUACUGCGGGGCUAGAGUGCAGAAGGGGCAACUGGAAUUCUCGGUGUAGCGGUGAAAUGCGUAGAUAUCGAGAGGAACACCUGCGGCGAAGGCGGGUUGCUGGGCUGACACUGACGCUGAUGCGCGAAAGCUAGGGGAGCGAACGGG